AACGCUGGCGGCGUGCCUAACACAUGCAAGUCAACUUGACUGAAGGAGCAAUCUGACAGUAGAGUGGCGCAAGGGUGCGUAACGCGUAAGUAACUUGCCCCAAGGUAAGGAAUAACGUCGAGAAAUCGGCGCUAAUACCUCAUAAUGCAGCGGAUCCGCAUGGAUAUGUUGUUAAAGGUUUACCGCCUUGGGAUAGGCUUGCGUCUGAUUAGUUAGUUGGUGUGGUAACGGCACACCAAGGCUACGACCAGUAACUGGUCUGAGAGGAUGAUCAGUCACACUGGAACUGAGACACGGUCCAGACUCCUACGGGAGGCAGCAGUGAGGAAUAUUGGGCAAUGCUCGAAAGAGUGACCCAGCAACGCCGCGUGGAGGAUGAAGGUAUUCUAUAUCGUAAACUCCUGUGAGAGCAGACGAAAGACAGAUUAUUAAUCUGGAUGACUGUAUGCUCAGAGGAAGCCCCGGCUAACUACGUG
rnacentral:rRNA from 1 species